rnacentral:rRNA from 1 species
ACAUGCAAGUCGAACGCGUUGGCCCAAUUGAUUGAUGGUGCUUGCACCUGAUUGAUUUUGGUCGCCAACGAGUGGCGGACGGGUGAGUAACACGUAGGUAACCUGCCCAGAAGCGGGGGACAACAUUUGGAAACAGAUGCUAAUACCGCAUAACAGCGUUGUUCGCAUGAACAACGCUUAAAAGAUGGCUUCUCGCUAUCACUUCUGGAUGGACCUGCGGUGCAUUAGCUUGUUGGUGGGGUAACGGCCUACCAAGGCGAUGAUGCAUAGCCGAGUUGAGAGACUGAUCGGCCACAAUGGGACUGAGACACGGCCCAUACUCCUACGGGAGGCAGCAGUAGGGAAUCUUCCACAAUGGGCGCAAGCCUGAUGGAGCAACACCGCGUGAGUGAAGAAGGGUUUCGGCUCGUAAAGCUCUGUUGUUAAAGAAGAACACGUAUGAGAGUAACUGUUCAUACGUUGACGGUAUUUAACCAGAAAGUCACGGCUAACUACGUGCCAGCAGCCGCGGUAAUACGUAGGUGGCAAGCGUUAUCCGGAUUUAUUGGGCGUAAAGAGAGUGCAGGCGGUUUUCUAAGUCUGAUGUGAAAGCCUUCGGCUUAACCGGAGAAGUGCAUCGGAAACUGGAUAACUUGAGUGCAGAAGAGGGUAGUGGAACUCCAUGUGUAGCGGUGGAAUGCGUAGAUAUAUGGAAGAACACCAGUGGCGAAGGCGGCUACCUGGUCUGCAACUGACGCUGAGACUCGAAAGCAUGGGUAGCGAACAGGAUUAGAUACCCUGGUAGUCCAUGCCGUAAACGAUGAGUGCUAGGUGUUGGAGGGUUUCCGCCCUUCAGUGCCGGAGCUAACGCAUUAAGCACUCCGCCUGGGGAGUACGACCGCAAGGUUGAAACUCAAAGGAAUUGACGGGGGCCCGCACAAGCGGUGGAGCAUGUGGUUUAAUUCGAAGCUACGCGAAGAACCUUACCAGGUCUUGACAUCUUGCGCCAACCCUAGAGAUAGGGCGUUUCCUUCGGGAACGCAAUGACAGGUGGUGCAUGGUCGUCGUCAGCUCGUGUCGUGAGAUGUUGGGUUAAGUCCCGCAACGAGCGCAACCCUUGUUACUAGUUGCCAGCAUUAAGUUGGGCACUCUAGUGAGACUGCCGGUGACAAACCGGAGGAAGGUGGGGACGACGUCAGAUCAUCAUGCCCCUUAUGACCUGGGCUACACACGUGCUACAAUGGACGGUACAACGAGUCGCGAACUCGCGAGGGCAAGCAAAUCUCUUAAAACCGUUCUCAGUUCGGACUGCAGGCUGCAACUCGCCUGCACGAAGUCGGAAUCGCUAGUAAUCGCGGAUCAGCAUGCCGCGGUGAAUACGUUCCCGGGCCUUGUACACACCGCCCGUCACACGGAUGAGAGUUUGUAACACCCAAAGUCGGUGGGGUAACCUUUUAGGAGCCAGCCG